UACGUAGGGUCCAAGCGUUAUCCGGAAUCACUGGGCGUAAAGGGCUCGUAGGCGGCCAACUAAGUCAGACGUGAAAUCCCUCGGCUUAACCGGGGAACUGCAUCUGAUACUGGAUGGCUUGAGAUUGGGAGAGGGAUGCGGAAUUCCAGGUGUAGCGGUGAAAUGCGUAGAUAUCUGGAGGAACACCGGUGGCGAAGGCGGCAUCCUGGACCAACACUGACGCUGAGGAGCGAAAGCCAGGGGAGCAAACGGG
rnacentral:rRNA from 1 species